UCGAUUCAUUUCCCCAACCGAUACCUAUCCUCCCUUCUCCUCAUCGUUGCCUUUCCCUUCACCCGUAGCACCUGAUCGCCACCGACGCCGCUUCACUGGUGGGGGCCGCCAUCGCCGGAAGAAAGGAUCAACGCAAGGGGGACUAAGGCAACUCUCCUUCUCAUUCGCGAAUCGUCCUUUCCCCUCUUUGUCGCGGGACACCACAAUCUGCAUCGCCGACAUUAUCGAUCGUCGGCAUCGGUUGUGGCAUAGUCGACAGUCGCCACUCUUCCGACCACGAAUUCAUAGCUACGGUGAUUCCAUCCUAUACUGAAUCUCGGUCACCAUGGUAGGCCGAUGAUCCCUGAGGCGGUAAGGGUUGCUGGACAGAUUCACCAUUGCCGGAGAAAGAACCAAGUUACGUGACAUAGAGGACUCUGAUUAGACACGAGCAUUUCAAUGUGGGAUUUGUUUAGCACGAUCUACAGAUAAAAGCGGGUACUUCUUCCUUGACCUCUAUAGUUCAUUGAACUUAGUGCAUGAUUUUUAAUUGAUGGAUUAUGUUGCUUUACCUUGAAUCUACUCGUAUUUAUCCAUUUUGAUACUUGCGUGCUUGAUCGUAAAUAUAAUCCAGUUAUUUCUGAUACAGUCUUGGUUUUGGAUGUCUAUACUCAAUAGUGUAUAUACAUGUAGAGUAUGUACCGUAGGAGAUUCCUUGUUGAUUGAGUUAACAUGUUGAUUAUGCAUAUGAUAUUGAGUGUACACAUAUUUAGUAUGUACUAUAGGAGUUACCAUGUUAAUUGUCUAUUUACAUGUUGUGUGCGCACACGUGACUGGUAUGUACUAUUGGUGGAAUCAUAUUAAUUAUACCUAUGUUGUGUAUGCACACGUAUUUGGUGUGUACUAGUGUGAUUAUUGGAGGUAUCAUGAUGAUUAUACUUAUGGGGUAGAGUGCAAACAGGUCUGGUAUAUAACUAUAGGUGUUGUUACUUACUGUAUUUGUUGUUUAGUAGACACCUGAUGGAUCUACCUAUACCUAUGAAUUUAGGUGUUAGAUGGAUCAUGUACCGGAGGUACUUAUAUUGAUUAUGUUACUGCAUUGAUGAUGAUUGUGUUUGUAUCAUGAUUAUUUACAUCAUGCCCAUCAUUGCGCUGUAUGCUGACAACCAAAUGUCUCCCUUAUGGUUGAGAGAGAUGUUAGUUAUAUUUGCUAUCCAUUCAACCACUCAGGGGGAGUGGUAGCUUGGAGUUGGGUUCAGCUUAUCCUGGUUGUACCCGCUCGGCCACUCUGAGUAGUGAUAGCUGGAGUUGUGCAUAUAGUGACUCUCCUUCUUAUGUAGUUAGAUAGCGCUACUCUGCAUCCUGCCUGUCUCGGCCACAUUGAUGUAGUGGUAGCUUGGAGACGCAAGCAGUUGUCAUAGUCCUGUCCACUCGACCACAAUGAUGUAGUGGUAGCUUGGAGUGAAAUCUAGGAGUGAUGCAUACAUAUAUAUGCAUAUGAUGCGCGGUGCAUCUUUUAAAGAUAUAUCUAUAUUUGUUUGUGAUCAUUGCAUUUGCUUGAAAUAUGAUUGUUGCAUAUGGUUGUCAUGCUUCAUAUAUAUUCAUUUAUCAUACAUAUAUAUGCUGUCGUUUAUAUUACUCAAGUGUUACAAGCAGAUCUGUUGUUGAUUCCUAGUGAGUUUACUGAUCACUAUACCGAGUGUGUAUUAGAUCUAAAUUGGAUAUGUGCAUUCAUUAUAUCAGUUAUGAUUAUGUACAUUUAGUAUGUCAUAUAUGAUCAUGUUCUUAUUUCCCUACUGAGACUGUAUGCUUUGAUUUCCAUGUGUAUGGAGUCGCUUGGAGAUCCUGUCCGUCAGUCCCAUGUCACAUCGAGCGUCUUCUUCCACUAUUACUUUUACUCGUAUUAUUGAUUUUCAGACUUGUUCAUGUAUUGAAUAACUUGUGUAUAGAUUUUUGGACUUAUAUUGUCCUUUUAUUUUGUUAUGUACUUAUUGUGUUUAAGCCGUGCCGAUACGCAGUUUAUCGUUUUGGUUUGGGUGACCUACCUUUUGUCUUCUGCUGUGUUUUUGUUACAGUCGUGUGUGCUGCUUAUUAUUCAGCGUGGUUGUGUAUAAUACCAGCCGUGCAAGCUACUUAUUAUCCUGUGUGGUUGUAUGUGAUUCCAGCCGUGUGUGUUGUAGAUUAUUAUACUUAUAUAGCCGUGUAGGCUAUAGAUUAUUAUACUUAUACAACCGUGUGGGUAUGUAUCCAGGUUUCGUAUAUUAUCAUAAGGGGGAGAUGUUAUCCAUUUGCUGGGCAGGGACUCCCUCGGGGUGUGACAAUUUAUUGGUAUCAGAGCCUCAGGUUUACGAGGCCUAUUUUUCGUAUUUCGGAUUUCAUGAUUUAUUUUGCCGAUGUGACUUUUCGAGUUUUGGGACUAAGUAGCAGUAAAACAUCUCCAAGCUACAGGAGGUAAGUUUGUAUAACUAUUAUCAUGCAUUUCUGUUGGUACUUGACUAGUUGUUUAUAGCAUGUAUGAUAUAUUUUGGGUCCGUUACUUUUUAAGUCCAUCAAACCCUACUAGAGAUUAGGGAUUACAGUCUCAGGGGAUCCCUCCUGCCAUACUACCACCAGUACUAGCUUUUCUUACUACUAGUUAAGCGAGAGUUAAAGUCACAUACCCUUGUUGGUUCGGUCAAUAGAGGACUGAUUUACUCUUGUUAGUUCAGUCAGUAAAAGACCGAUUUACUCUUGUUGGUUCGGUAGUAGAGGACCGACUUACUCUAUUUAAUGGAGAUUCCAACCCUCAGGUUACUUGUGCUUGGUUAGAUAACCUGGAAGACACAUCCGAGUACAUGACUUGUAGAGACAUAGAAAGGACUGAAUUAGCUAUAUACCAUUAUUGUCUCGACCAGUAGAGGAUCAAUGUAUUCUAUUCGUGGGGACUUUGACCAUGGAUCAGUCGUACCAUGUUAUAUAACCUAAAAGGUACAUUCAGAUAUAUGAUCCACAGUGAGGUGGAAAAGUGUAGAGUUAGUUGCUUAACACUUACGAGAUAUACGCAUUACUUGGGUGUAUAACUUGGAGAAUACAUUCGAAUAAUGACUUGUACUGAUGUGAAACAGAUGUAGUUGCUUAUCCUUUACGUGACCAGGCACCACGUGAAAGAAGACGCAGAAGAUGAUUUUUGAGAACAAGGUAUCACUUGAUGAUUAUUUUAAGGUGUUUUGAGAGAGAGUACUUCUCUACCUCCUUUGGUAGCAUAAUGAUUUAUAAGGUGAUGGUUAGUCGACUCGCCUAAUGCUAUUCCAUGGGAGAUUAGACUCAUGGACCAAUCGGAUAUGGUUAGAUACCCUUAGUGAUGCAUAGAGAUAUAUGACCCGCAAUGAUGCGAAGAAGGUGGUGUUUGUUGAGUAACACCUAUGAAAUCCAACUGUUAGUGAAAAUAUCAUAAGAUGAUCUUCGAGGAGAGAGCGUCGAUUGACAGUUAUUUUGACCAGUUAUUAGUGAUAGUGCUCCUCUACUAUUGUGUGCAUGACUCAUCACUAGAGGUUCCUGAAUCUCAGGUGGAGCAAUUGUAGUAUGAAAAGUUACAAGACAAUGGUUAGUCGGCUCAAUUAACAUUAUCUCCAUCAAGUAGCUCAAAACCUUGACCACAUGAUCAUUUACUAAAGGUUUUGAAGUCUAUUUAGAUCAGAGUGUUCGACCUUUUGUCGAUAUUUGUCGGAGGAUAUUUAUGGACACAAUUUUGAGAGUUGUGGUAAUACCCUCUUAAUGGGUAGACUCUCAGUCAAGGGGUCAAGUGACCCUUUAGACUUUAGAUUGUCAUUCCAUUAUGGUGGAUAUUUGAGUACCUAAAAUGAUGAGAUUUAACAUACUUCUUGACAUAUACUAAUUGGUCUCUUAUUGUGCUAUACUAAACGGUCGGGUAAGGGUAGGAACCAUGCAACCCCGGACCAACCAUCUUUGGAAUUCGUCGAGAUUAAUGACGAAAGAAUAUUCUAUUUCGACAAUAUAAGCCAAGCAAUUACUAUCUACAUUUUUAGGUAAGAUUAAUAGAGUUUUUAUACUCAUAUUGUAUGGAUUAGCCGUAUCUUUACCAUUUGGAGAGUUGUUGAUCAUCGAUCAGGAAGUCAAGGGAUGUUUCUUGGACUUUAGUAGUCAUACAUUUUUGGUAGGAUAGUGAUAUAUUACUACAUCUUGAUAAUACCCCAAUAAUGAGAGCGGGUCAUUGGGAAGUUAGAUUUGUGAGCAUAUAAUGGGUCUGUCUCACUAAAAAUAUAUAUUACAACAAACUUACCCAUAGAGUAUAAUCCCUUAGUGGUAUAACAUAAACAUGCAAUGUUGAACCAUGGUGGAUCUCUUGGAAUUAAUGGAAGUGGGUGUUGAAGGUUGGAUGCCAUUCUUUUACUUUAUCAUUGAUCAGAAAGCUAUCAGGUUUGAUAGAUGUUAAGGAUGAUUUAAGAUUGGUGGAUAUUGUGGAAUCAGAUUUUGUGAUAUGUUGCUUUCUGAGGAUCUAUUGGUGGAUAUUUGACUUGAUGGUCUAUUAUUUGAUAUUUAUUAUUGAUAGUGACAAGGGUAGUAGCAUGUCUGUGAUAUUUAUAUAUUUGAUGACUUGUAGUUAGUGAUUAGAUUAUAGACCCGUUGCCAGUGAUCUUACAGUUGAAUUUGCCUGAUGUACGAACAUUAUGAGUUAUUAGUAAUGCUAUUUGGGCCUACCAAUGCUCCAGUUGUAUUCAUGGAUUGAUGAACCGGGUAUUUACAGAGUAUUUGGAUCAGUUGUCAUUAUCUUCAUUAACGAUAUUUUGAUAUAUUCCUGAUGCGAAGUGGAUCACGAAUAAUAUCUUUGUAUACUUCUGGAGAUUUUUUGACGAGAACAUCUCUAUGUGAAGUUUAGUAAAUGCGCAUUUUGACUAUCUUAUUUGGGAUUUAUAGGAUAUAUUGUCUUUAGUAGAGGUAUAUCAGUGGACCCACAGAAGAUAGAGGUUGUUACCAACUGGGCGCAACUGAACACAGUGUAGGAAGUUUGUAGCUCCCUUGGUUUAGCUGGAUAUUACCAUAGAUUUGUUGAGGUUUCUCCAGCAUAGCUAUGCCAUUCACUCAACUGACCAGGAAAGGAGUGGAAUUUAGCUGGACAGAGCCUUAUGAGGCAAGCUUUCAGGUACUCAAGCAAAGGCUCAUAACUGCACCCGUCUUAGUUUUACCUUCUAGUGUAUAUGGAUUUGUACUCUGCGCAGAUGUAUACGGGCUUGGUGUGUCUGAAGGACGAGAUACUACGGAAGAGUACACGGGGGACGAGAAGGGAGCGUGCGGUGUCUUCGAGGGACGAGAAGCCGGAGCGGAAGGUUGCUCGAGGAGACGAGCAAAAGACGCAGCCAGCGAGAAGGACGAC